rnacentral:rRNA from 1 species
GACGAACGCUGGCGGCGUGCCUAAUACAUGCAAGUCGAGCGAAUCGAUGGGAGCUUGCUCCCUGAGAUUAGCGGCGGACGGGUGAGUAACACGUGGGUAACCUGCCUGUAAGACUGGGAUAACUUCGGGAAACCGGAGCUAAUACCGGAUACUUUCUUUUCUCGCAUGAGGGAAGAUGGAAAGAUGGUUCUGCUAUCACUUACAGAUGGACCCGCGGCGCAUUAGCUAGUUGGUGAGGUAACGGCUCACCAAGGCGACGAUGCGUAGCCGACCGGAGAGGGUGAUCGGCCACACUGGGACUGAGACACGGCCCAGACUCCUACGGGAGGCAGCAGUAGGGAAUCUUCCGCAAUGGACGAAAGUCUGACGGAGCAACGCCGCGUGAGCGAAGAAGGCCUUCGGGUCGUAAAGCUCUGUUGUUAGGGAAGAACAAGUACGAGAGUAACUGCUCGUACCUUGACGGUACCUAACCAGAAAGCCACGGCUAACUACGUGCCAGCAGCCGCCGUAACAC